AGGUCGGUUACGUCAAAUUCAUGGCGCCAACCAAAACAAACAUUAGCAGUUGUCCAACAGUGCUUUGUUUCUACUGUUGUUACUGAUAUUUUGGUGUAAGUAUUGAACGUUACUGUGAGCAGAAAUGUCUGGGAAGGCAAAGGAAAUCCUGCAAAUGGACCUUUAUGGUUUGCUUGGAAUUGAAAUCACUGCUACAACGAAGGAGACCCAAUCCCGUGCAUCAUCUUGUCUAGUGACACCCCUAAUGUCUACACACCUCAACCUAAUUGAGCACCAGUGGGGCAUCUGCUAGCAGAAGGAAGGUGGAGGAGUGCAAGAUGUCUUUCAUCCUACAGCUGCACUAGUGACGUCCUCAUGGAGGAGUGGAAGGGGAUUCCAGAAACAACCUGUGCAGCUCUGGUGAAUUCCACGCCCAAAAGGAUUAAGGCAGUGCUUACACUAAAGAUGCCCAUAUGUGCUCACUUGUGUUUCCAGCCAUUUUCAGCAAAGCCAUACUGCUCUGCAAGCUGUAAAUAGAAUACUCCCCCUUGAGAAGAUAUAAAACGGUUGCUAAAAUGUGAGGGGGGCACUUACUUGAGAGAUACUGGAAACAUAAAUACAUUGUGGGAGUCUACAAAAAUGUAA